rnacentral:rRNA from 1 species
UACGAACCGUACAAACGUUAUUCGGAAUUACUGGGCGUAAAGCGCACGUAGGCGGCUUUUUAAGUCGGAGGUGAAAUCCUGGAGCUCAACUCCAGAACUGCCUUCGAUACUGGAGAGCUCGAGUCCGGGAGAGGUGAGUGGAACUGCGAGUGUAGAGGUGAAAUUCGUAGAUAUUCGCAAGAACACCAGUGGCGAAGGCGGCUCACUGGCCCGGUACUGACGCUGAGGUGCGAAAGCGUGGGGAGCAAACAGG